ensembl:lncRNA
AGGUCUAGAGAGCUGGCUCGGCACUUAAAAAUGAUGGCUGUUCUUCCAGAGGACCCAAAUUCAGUUCCCAGCACCCGUGUCAGGAGGCUCACUUCACAUGAUUAAAAUAAUUUCCUCAGUUACUUAAAAACAGAAGGAAAAGCAGGAGGACUAUGCUGACCACACUCUGGGAAAAAUAUCUUCAGUAGUCAAGAAUGUAAAAGCAGUGUCUGAUGUGGUCAUUAGAAGGAUGAGCAAAAGUAUGAGAAGAGAUUGGAGGGGUCCAGGAAGAGCAUCUCUUAGAAAGGCUUGACUUGAAACCCAUGGCAACCAAGGGAAAAAGAUUAUUUCAUGUGAUCACCAUGAACCCAGUCGUUAUCUAUUCAGAAACAGGAAUAAUGCUACUAUACAGUCCUAUGCGUUACUGAUUUCAAAACACUUUUCAAAGAUAAGAUGAGAUUUCAUGACAAGUUGGGUCAUACCAAUGUGAAGACAGCAAAGAGGAUAUCACAUGCUCUAGGGAUGGCAUCCCACUUACAUGGUCUAUCUACCACAGUGACUUUUGGAUAUCCAAGAUUCUGCACUGUGGUGCGCAUCUUUAAUCCCAGAACUAAGAAGGAUGAUCCCUGGAGAAAUAGCAAGUUCAAGACCUGCCUAGGCUACACAGCCAGGUUGAGGGCAGCCUGACUACAAAGUGUGACUGUCUCCAUGUCUGC